GCAGUCGAGCGGCAGCGGGAAAGUAGCUUGCUACUUUUGCCGGCGAGCGGCGGACGGGUGAGUAAUGCCUGGGGAUCUGCCCAGUCGAGGGGGAUAACAGUUGGAAACGACUGCUAAUACCGCAUACGCCCUACGGGGGAAAGGAGGGGACCUUCGGGCCUUUCGCGAUUGGAUGAACCCAGGUGGGAUUAGCUAGUUGGUGGGGUAAUGGCUCACCAAGGCGACGAUCCCUAGCUGGUCUGAGAGGAUGAUCAGCCACACUGGAACUGAGACACGGUCCAGACUCCUACGGGAGGCAGCAGUGGGGAAUAUUGCACAAUGGGGGAAACCCUGAUGCAGCCAUGCCGCGUGUGUGAAGAAGGCCUUCGGGUUGUAAAGCACUUUAAGCGAGGAGGAGGCUACCGAGAUUAAUACUCUUGGAUAGUGGACGUUACUCGCAGAAUAAGCACCGGCUAACUCUGUGCCAGCAGCCGCGGUAAUACAGAGGGUGCAAGCGUUAAUCGGAUUUACUGGGCGUAAAGCGCGCGUAGGUGGCCAAUUAAGUCAAAUGUGAAAUCCCCGAGCUUAACUUGGGAAUUGCAUUCGAUACUGGUUGGCUAGAGUAUGGGAGAGGAUGGUAGAAUUCCAGGUGUAGCGGUGAAAUGCGUAGAGAUCUGGAGGAAUACCGAUGGCGAAGGCAGCCAUCUGGCCUAAUACUGACACUGAGGUGCGAAAGCAUGGGGAGC
rnacentral:rRNA from 1 species